rfam:Sarcophilus harrisii ctg7180001396919, whole genome shotgun sequence.
GUGGGCAUCUUACUAGACAGUGCUGGAUUUUUGGAUGUAUUCUAACACUGUCUGGUAACGAUGUUUAA